rnacentral:sRNA from 1 species
GAGGUGUUGAAGGCAGUAGCAGGGACCUACAGGGCCACCCCAUUCUUCACCGUCUACAUCAGUGCCGACUCUAAGAGUUCCAACAGCAAUGUUAUCCAGGUGGACCAGUCUGGGCUCUUUCUGCCCUCUCGGGAUUACUACUUAAACAGAACUGCCAAUGAGAAAGUAAGGAACAUCUUCCGAAUCCCCAUCCCUACCCCUUGCUGAGCUGGGCUGAUCCCUGUUGACUUUUCCCUUUGCCAAGGGUCAGAGCAGGGAAGGUGAGCCUAUCCUGUCACCUAGUGAACAAACUGCCCCUCCUUUCUUUCUUCUUUUCUUCCUCCCUCCCUCCCUCCCUCCCUUUCUUCCCCUUUUCCUUCCUUCCUUCCUCUUAUUCUUCUAGUAGGUUUCAUAGACACCUACUGUGUGCCAGGUCCAGUGGGGGAAUUCUGAGAUAUAAGUUUCCGAGCCAUCGCCACAGGAAGCGUUCAGUGUCGAUGGGUUCAUGGACCUAGAUAGCUGAGAACAAAGCUCACAAGAGGGUC